AGCAGCCGCGGUAAUUCCAGCUCCAAUAGCGUAUAUUAAAGUUGUUGCAGUUAAAAGCUCGUAGUUGAAUUUCGGGACCAAUCUGCCGGUCGUGCCUCCGGUACGCACUGGUUUUAUUGGUCUCUCCCUUCUGACGAACCAUGAUGUCAUUAAUUUGGUGUCAUGGGGAAUCAGGACUGUUACUUUGAAAAAAUUAGAGUGUUUAUAGCAGGCUCACGCUUGAAUACAUUAGCAUGGAAUAAUGAAAUAGGACGUUUGACUCUAUUUUGUUGGUUUCUAGGAUCGACGUAAUGAUUAAUAGGGAUAGUUGGGGGCAUUAGUAUUCAAUUGUCAGAGGUGAAAUUCUUGGAUUUAUUGAAGACUAACUACUGCGAAAGCAUUUGCCAAGGAUGUUUUCAUUAAUCAAGAACGAAAGUUAGGGGAUCGAAGACGAUCAGAUACCGUCGUAGUCUUAACCAUAAACUAUGCCGACUAGGGAUCGGAUGAUGUUAUUUUUUAAUGACUCAUUCGGCGCCUUAUG
rnacentral:rRNA from 1 species